AUUGAACGCUAGCGGGAUGCCUUACACAUGCAAGUCGAACGGAGUGGCGAACGGGUGAGUAAUGUAUCGGAACGUGCCCAGUAGCGGGGGAUAACUACGCGAAAGCGUCGCUAAUACCGCACACUUUCGGACCGGCCCAAAUCGGAUUAGCUAGUUGGUGGGGGAACGGCUCACCAAGGCUACGAUCCGUAGCUGGUUUGAGAGGACGACCUGCCAAACUGGGACUGAGACACGGCCCCGACUCCUACGGGAGGCAGCAGGGGGGAAUGUUGGACAAUGGGGGAAACCCUGAUCCAGCCAUCCCGCGUGUGCGAUGAAGGCCUUCGGGUUGUAAAGCACUUUUGGCAGGAAAGCGGUACCUGCAGAAUAAGCACCGGCUAACUACGUGCCAGCAGCCGCGGUAAUAC
rnacentral:rRNA from 1 species